UCCAAAUUGGAUGAAGAGGGGAUGGAGGUUGCUGUGUGUCACCAUGGGUUUCUUCUGAAAGCCCUUAAUAUGUACAGGGGAGAGAUAUUUGCCUACCCUCUGUAUCUUCAGAAGGAGCUCAUGCCAGCCAAGGCAAAAUUAUUUGCGAUGGAUGGGGCUUGCAAAUAUUGGCCAUAUUUGGAGAAAGCUGCUAGAGUCCUUCCUGCUCUUCAGGAGCUCACCGAAAUGAAACCAUUCCUCAGUGUAAUGCAUGCUCGAGCCCAUGCUACAAAGUGUGAGAUUAAAUGGAAUGGUAGGAACCAGGAAGGAGCAGGAACAACAGCUGGUGAGGAGGUGGAGCAAGUGAACAGCUACCUCUCACGUUGUGCCCUGACGACCAAAUAUAUGUCUAAAGCAGCACGGGUGGACAUGCUUACCAUGCAUGCAAUGGGGUGGAACCACAAAAAAAGUCUCUCUCUACAUCAGGCACUUUCCACAAGAUAUGUGAAGAGACACCAGAUACAUCUCAUGCCAGCACCACACACAGAGAACUUCAGCAGUCAACUGAGGGGCUUUAUCUUAGUGUGAGGCAGCGGAAGCAAACCCUCUACCGCCAGAAUGUAAAGAGAAGAACAGUUAUCAGCCCAACUCAGACACAAGUCAAUACAGCGAACAAGCAUCGGGCUUACAUCAUAACAAAAAUACAAAAUGCUAACCACAAGCAACAACGCCAAGACCUGAACACACACUGAGCCCCUCAGCGCAGCACGCCGAGAGACCUUUAAUCAGCAGGCUGACAUCGGAUUGGCUGCAGAGACCACGCCCUUAAUGAUGAUCGACAGCCGCCUCCUCCAUUCAGCAGAUACCUGAGAGCAAAGACGACAGCCUAGAGAACGAUGGAAGCUACUCAAAGGACUGUGUUGAAGGAAAUGGACUCGCCCUAUAUUUGUGUAUUAUCAGUAUGCUGAUUGAUUAACCACAUCCAAAUCUGGAUGCAUCCUAUAUUGUUGAAAAUUGAUGAAUUGAAGGUGAACUAAACAAUUGAGAAAGAAAACUGGUUGCGUAACAUUAUUUUUGAUCUGCACAAUGCGCGCAUUCAUCUUUAAGUGACUGCAGCCUAUAUUCCUGCUGCUUUCUGUGUCAUGAAUGUCAAUGAAACAACAAAAGACAAAGAUAAAAAUCACUUUUGUAGUUUUCACACAGAUUAAUUCUAUUUAAUUUAUACAGUGAAAAAUAUGCAAAAAAAAAA
ensembl:lncRNA